CCUUGAAGUAGGGGAUAACACUUGGAAACAGGUGCUAAUACCGUAUAACAACCAAAACCACCUGGUUUUGGUUUAAAAGACGGCUUCGGCUGUCACUUUAGGAUGGACCCGCGGCGCAUUAGCUUGUUGGUAAGGUAACGGCUUACCAAGGCGAUGAUACGUAGCCGACCUGAGAGGGUAAUCGGCCACAUUGGGACUGAGACACGGCCCAAACUCCUACGGGAGGCAGCAGUACGGAAUCUUCCACAAUGGACGAAAGUCUGAUGGAGCAACGCCGCGUGAGUGAUGAAGGGUUUCGGCUCGUAAAACUCUGUUGUUGGAGAAGAACAGGUGUCAGAGUAACUGUUGACAUCUUGACGGUAUCCAACCAGAAAGCCACGGCUAACUACGUGCCAGCAGCCGCGGUAAUACGUAGGUGGCAAGCGUUGUCCGGAUUUAUUGGGCGUAAAGCGAGCGCAGGCGGUUUUUUAGGUCUGAUGUGAAAGCCUUCGGCUUAACCGGAGAAGUGCAUCGGAAACCGGGAGACUUGAGUGCAGAAGAGGACAGUGGAACUCCAUGUGUAGCGGUGAAAUGCGUAGAUAUAUGGAAGAACACCAGUGGCGAAGGCGGCUGUCUGGUCUGUAACUGACGCUGAGGCUCGAAAGCAUGGGUAGCGAACAGGAUUAGAUACCCUGGUAGUCCCAUGCCGUA
rnacentral:rRNA from 1 species